rnacentral:rRNA from 1 species
UACGAAGGGGGCUAGCGUUGCUCGGAAUUACUGGGCGUAAAGGGCGCGUAGGCGGAAUGGCAAGUCGGUCGUGAAAUCCUUCGGCUCAACCGAAGAACGUCGAUCGAAACUGCCGUUCUUGAGGAUUGCAGAGGAGACUGGAAUUUACGGUGUAGCAGUGAAAUGCGUAGAUAUCGUAAGGAAGACCAGUGGCGAAGGCGAGUCUCUGGACAGUUACUGACACUGAGGCACGAAGGCCAGGGGAGCAAACGGG